AAAUAUUGUCUGACAUGAAAACGGUCCGUGAGGUAAAAAAGGUUGGGGACCACUGAUCUAAAUGAUGCAAGACAAGUUCAUCGCUGUUGUGAAGAAGCUCAGCCUGUAAGAUUCUAAAUAAAUUAUUUGCAUAGUAAAUCAUAUUUUUUAAUGUGUAGCCAGUGAGGAAAUGUCCCUCCUGAGGUACUGUAGGUUCAAGCAGGCAUUGGUACCUCCUACUUCCUGUUUCACCCAUUAGACGGUAUAAAAGCUGCACAUAAUGAAGCUGCUGUCAGAAUGCUUGUCCUUUUCUGUGUUGGAGCCUGGCUGGGGAACCCAGAGAGCUGCUCGUCAGGGAGGCCCAAACCAUGUGUGAACCGGCCCGGGUGGAGGAGGCUCAAUGCAAUUCCAGCCUGUAGUUGGAAGCCACUGCUGUUUUGUGUUGCUAUAUUCAGUUCCUGUCUGGAGCUUCUUCAUGGGUUGAGGCUGUCUGCAGAGUAGCAGCCCAGAUGGUGGGUCUGGUGCCUGGGCCUCUCAUCUGCCCCUCCCAUUCUCAGUUGUUUUGGUCUGUAUUUUGAUUUUACAUAGCAUGCUUUGAUUCUGAUUUUUAGAAUAUUUGUGUGGAGAAACGAAGUCUGUGAGCAACCUGUGCUAGAGCAUGUGCCCGUUCUUGCCCCGCUGCGGCCUAGUCACCAGUAGCCCUCAAUUCGUUUGUAGAGGCCCAUUUGGUUAUUUUUUUAAAGUCCUACAGCUAAUGGGAAUUGGUUUGAUUGCUAUAUUUAAAAAAAAGAAUCAGCUAAAACUAAUGCAUUCCAAUAACCGCCCUACAAAUAUUUCUCCCUCAUUCUUAUAUCAGGAAGGUAGAUGGCCCAAAUGGCAAUUGGCCAAUGGUACUCCUAGAGUGGAUUUCCUUGUAUGUUGAACUUUACAUGCGUUAACAAGUACAUUACUAAAGAGCCACUGCUCAUAUUUAACUGCAAGCAUUUUUCACAAAGUUUUAACGGUUUGGUGAUUUAUGGUAAUUGUGAUGUAUGUUCCAUAGUGCAAGUGAAUCUUCUGUGUACCCUGUAAAAAUGCACUUUAAAUACACAUUGCUGUGACAGUAAUUAAAACUCAUGUUAAAUUUGUAUUUAAAAAGCAAUUUUUCCAUUAACUAAACCUGAGUUUGUUGCACAAUAUAUCACAAGUGUUUUUUUUGAAAAUAUCUUUAUUCAUUUGAAUAGUUGCUUAAAUAUUUAUCCUACAGAUGUUUUGAACUAGACAUAAAAAAAUAGGCAAAGUCAACCUCAUAGUGCUGUACACUUCAGUGUAACCCCAACACUGUAGGUUAAGACCUUAUGUUUACUGGCUUAGUGUUGCAAUGUUCUCCAAUUUGACAGUCAAAUUUACUGUGUACCUGGAAUGUAAUUUUGGCAGUGAAUUAAUAAAAUGUCAAUGUAUUCUAGAGGAGAGGGAGAAGAUGGGCGAGGCCUGAGCUCUUCGUCAAGGACGGUCCAGAGAAUACAACAGGCUCCUGCCUUGAGGAUCCCCAGAAGUGGUCGAGCAGUUUCAGCCUCCUGUGACGGUGGAGAUUACCCGCAGUCUUUAGUGAUUUGAGUGAACGGGAAACUGCAAUCAAUGUUCGGAAAACAUUCCGGUUGGGUAAAGUAGUUCUGUGAUUCCACGCAGGACAGUCCAGAGAAGAAAACCGGGUCCUGCCUCGGGCUCCCUAGGAGCAGCCAAGCAAAUUCAGCCUCCUGUGAAAAUCGAGAGGACGAUUCAGAGAACACAACAGGAUGCUGCAUCAGGGGCAAGCAGCUUUAGCCUCCUGUUGGAAUUGCCUUAUGCUUAUUUUUCCCCCCCAGUAAUGCUUGUCAUGCAGGCUGUGUGACAGGUCUAGAAAAAUGUUUGAAAUGGUAUGAUUGCAUAAUGUACUUGCGGUGCUUCUUGUCUUUGGUUGUAUGUCCUGAACUAUUUUCCAUUCCCUAACCCGUUUUAGGAAUUUGUUUGUAUUGCUACAUGUAAACCUGUAGGUGAAAAGAUGCUAGUGUUUAAGACUAUUCUGGAUAAGUUGGUUAAUGUAGUCUUGU